UGACGCAAGAGGAAGUCAGCUGCCCAGCCUGGGUUUUCCACGCAGCCUGGGCAGAGGAGGGGUGGAGUGAGCCCCUGGGCGGGAGUCAGAACUCAGGGCCUUCCAGGGACAGACAGAUACUGCAGCCGCCCUGGGCCACACCAGGGCAAAGGGACCCCAGGGAUCUGGGCGGGGAAGAGCUGAGGGUCGGAGGCCGUGAGUGAGGAGAGGAAGCUCACUGAGCAGUCCGUCCCCCCUGAGUGGAUGAGGACCCAGCAGUGGCUUCCAGCCCACGGCCCAGAAAGGGCCCAGCUCUGUCCCUCCAGCUGGACCCUGGUGGGUGUCACUCGGGCCCAUCACUCUGUGACCAGGUGUGGUGGCCGAGGUCAGCUGUCUUGUUCUCAACCAGGGCGGGGCUUCCUGUGCUGUGGCCUGCUCUGACCCUGGCUGCGUGGCUGAGGACUCCCAGGUCACUGGGUGGGGCGUGCGGCCCUGUGUGGUGUCUCGGGACGUCCACGCUGUCUCCGGUUGGGCUGGGGCCUCUCAGGGUGGGCCUGACUCGAGGACGGUCCCUGGCGAUUGGAUGGUGCUGCCCCACACACCUGGCGAGCCUCGGGCUGGGGGUGCCCCAGAACCUGUGGCUGUGCGAUCACAUUCGGGCAGGACUUGGGGCCUGUGGCUGGCUCCACACUGACAGUUGGGUGGCCUGGCCAGGAGGCCUCCCUCUGGGGACUCAUCCUCUUCCCAUGUCGCACGCAGAGCUUCGAGACGUUUCCAUGGCAAUGGAUGGAGGCCUUGGAAGCCGGUGCCCCAGCGAGAGGCAGAUGGGCUCAGGCUGGGCAGGUGCAGCCUAGGGCCUCUCAGCCCCUCGGCUGUGGCUCAGCUUUCUGUGCUCGCCGUGCUGGACGCAGGUGCACAGCGGUGUGGGACAGGCGCGAACCCACCCACUUUCCAGGUGUGAGGGCUGAGGGUCAGAGUGGGUGGGGCGGGUCCCUGGAGUGGACAGGGAGUCAGCGCCCCUUCUGGGCUUCUGGGCGGCGGGCGUCCCUCCCCAGUGCUGCCCUGUGGCGGUGGAGACCCGGGGCCGGGCCAGCAAGGCCGCGUGUGUCUGGGUCAGACUGCGAGACAGAGCCUGACUCAGGGGCAGGAGGCGGGGAGGCCCUGAGGCGCUGGCGUGAACCAGGGCAGCACAGCCAGGCCACGGCCCUCCAGCCAGGCUAACUCGCCACCCUCCUGCCUCAGCCUCCAGAGUGCAGCAAUGGCAGGUGUGCACCACAAGCCCGGGUGUGCAGUGUCGGAGCCCGCCCAUGGUCGGGAGCCGCACCUCGUGCCAUGCACCCCAGGCCUUCUCCCCGAGGUGGCCAGCAGUGGGCAGGCUCGGCUGGGCCGCGAGGGGCGGAUGGAGGGGAGGAACCUGCGGGCCUAGGUGCAGUCGGAGGAUGCAGGUCCACGGGGGCUCCUGAGAGAGCAGGGCAGCCCGGCGGGCGUUGGGCGGCAGAGCCCAGGCAGGUGGCGGGGCGGUGCUCUGGGCUGGGCCUCGGCCCUGGCUCUGCCCCUCCUGGCUCUGUGCCCGGGGGUGGGCCUCUCUCCCAGGCACACUCAUCCUCCUUGGUGCCGGGGCCCCAUCCACAGCUCGGCAGCCACGCGGCCCAGCUCCAAAGGCUGACGGCAGAGGCCACGCACGGGCUGAAGCUCGCGCUGUGCUCGGAGCUCUCGGUGCCUGGGGAGACAGCAGGAGGGGAAGCCAACCCAGCUCACGCUGGACCCCCAGCCGGCCGGGACAAGGGGAGCGACUCGGGGUGACUGGGGUGACCUGCACCCCGAAAUCUCACCGCCGUAAGAUGGAGUUGGGAGUGGAACCGUGCACGCAGCCUGUGCACCCGCAGAAGGGGUUUCGGGAGUUCCCCAAAGACAACAGCAGGUUGAUGGCAGCGGGGAGCGGCACAGAGAUUCUGGGCUUUGUCUUCAUCCAUGCACCUCUGCAUUGUGUGAUGUGUUAAGGAAGGGACAUUGUGAUCCAAGGCCUUGGUCUCACACAGCCUGAAAGAGGGCUGGGCUGGGCCUGGAGGCGGGAGCCCUUGUGCAUGCGCAAGGCCAGGGCUCAGGCCCUGCUCCACCCCCAAGCCAUGAAAGGGGUCGGCGGAAGAUCCUUUGUAUUUUUGUAUAAUGAUGUAUAACAUGUAUUUUUAUAAUGUGAUUUUUUUCUUAAUAAUAAA